rnacentral:lncRNA from 1 species
AGUGCACUAUAUACACACCAAUAUAUAUUGGUGUGUAUAUAGUGCACUAGUAUAUAUAUGUAUAUUUGCUGUUUUGUGUUUACUUCAUGUAACAGCCUACGUGCUAGCAUAGCACAUAUACGUUAGAAGACAACGCGUAGUGAUGGCAAAAGAGGAACAUUCUACGAUAGCAUAAGCGAUUGGAGCAUAAAACGAAUAUCGACCAGGUACCCCCCGCACCUCGCAUGGAGUCGGCGCUUGUGUGUACUUCAAAAAUCACCAUUAAAAGAUUCGACAUUACUGCUGUGAGGAACCUCUGCCAGGCACACCUCUUUUUGUACUUUGAUUUUUUCAGACAUUCAAUCAGACGACUGGCUCACAACACGAAAAAAGUACGCCUAUGCCUGGAUUCGAAUCGAGACUGCAAAGUGUUCCUAAAAUUAGCACUCCGCUACGCUACCCACGAAGCUAUGGCUGAGAGCAUGAGAAGUAAUUUUGUUGACUUCCGGUUAACGGGAAGCUGACCACGAAGUAAAUAACAGUUGAAUGCUGGUCAGUAAGGAAGCGGUAAAGCGACGGCAGAUGGUACAGCAGAUAUAGACUGAGACAGAAUUGGCCAAUCUGACGGACGUACUAGACCACGAGGAGAUGCGAGCGCUUACUCAAUCUAAAAACCGGAAAUGCGGCCGGAAGUGGACAAGCCUGGUACAAAUUUCCUCCGUAUACCUACCUUAGAAAACUCCGCUUCUGCGAUCUCAACAUUUGUUGGAUGGCUGCUCUCUGACUGUACUUAGGUCCACAGUUCAUAAAGCUCAUUGUAUGUGUACUAGCCCGGAGCGUAAACCAACUUCAAAACUCCUCGCCAACUUAUUCGCGUUGACUACGCAUAACUGCGGGAACUGGCGUUAAAGCCUAAAAACCAGACAGUAGA